GCCAGGACAAAACAGAAAAAAAACUCGUUUGCGUAGGAGUUUUCUGAACACCUACGGCGAGAGCAAUCACUGCAACGGCGACCACAACGACCUACAAAGCAGCUCCACUGGGAGGGCGGAGCCAUGUCUGGCAUGGAUGACCGCGCGAAGCAGUUCAAGGCGGCCGCUGAGGCUCAGCUCACUGGACCCGCGUUGAAGAGGGAGAUCAACACGCUGCGCCGCUUUCUUUUUCGCAACCAGGGGUGCCGCUUUACGAAGGCGGCUCAGCAGGCGCUCUACAUGGCGGUCAUCGCACACUACGGCAACUCAGCUGCCCAUCACGCUUCUGGCUACGCAGCCGCCUGUGACACGCCGGCGACAACGGCGUUCACUGCAGGGGCUGGCUCUAGUGGGCCGACUUCGGCGUCGUGCGCAGAUCCUUCGAGAGGCGCAGGUGUGCCACAUCCGGCCGGCGACGAGGACAGCGACGAAGGGGACCGCGGCAACGCCGCUGAUGCGACCGAUGCACCGAUUCUUCGCCUCCUUGACGACGCGCUCAAGAUGCCCUUCACCGUUUUUACCUCUCCACAAAAGGAUAAGCUGCUCAGUCUCUACUGGACCGUUCUCGGGACCGACGGCUCUGCAGGUGCGAACGCCGGCAACGGCACCAAGCCCACCCCCGCCGCCACACUCACGCUCUCACUUGUGGACAUCGUAGACGCCGGCAAGAACAAGGCGCAGCUCUCCCUCUUCACCGAUGGAGGUGAGGAGUAUCCGCAGGAAGUGCUCGUUUCGGAUGCCAGCACGCUGAAGCAUCUGAGGACAGCACUUGACAAUGGCAACGUCAUUUCGGUGACGGUACAGGAGAACGAGACCGGCGCGUCACUUGUAUCCUUUAGUGUCGACAACGAGUGAGCAAGUCAUGAACAGCGCGUUGCGUUUCAGAAGUAUGCUACGGAGAGGGAGGUGUUGACGUUGCUCCACAUUGCGCUGGCUCGGCGUGUUUUUUUCUUUUCUGAUCUGCUCGGCUUUGCCGUGCUUAAUGGCGGGUGACACCUCGGCGCGUGGUACCCAUGACUCUGUACACGCCCUGUGUGGGGAAGAAGCCAGGCAGCCCCUAUCCCCUGCCAAUGCUGCACCGCACCUGGCGGUGGCAGGGUCAGGCGCCUACGACGUGGGGGAGGUCAGAGCGAUGCAUCGCUGCUGACGUGGGCGGCCAGGUCGUGGAUGGCGCUGCGUCGGAGCGACCCGCGACCGUGCACCGGGCUGCGCCAUCCAUGCUAUAUGGGCGGAGUGUCAGCGCGACUCGACCGCGACCCGCCCGGCCCUCACUGCCUCCUGGUGUGUGGCGCCUGCGCCACGCCGAGGGAUGCGCCGGGUGGCGGCCGGCAUAGUGGGGGCAGCUGUGGGGCUGCGUGCGCAGAAGAGGCUGGCAGAGGCUGAGGCAGGGCCCGUGCUGAGAUGGCUGCGCCGGCGCAUGGCUGUGAUGCGCGUGUCUCUAGCGCUGCUUCGCACCACGCGAUGGGGGCCUGCGACGGGCCGGGGCUAGCGUGGCGUUGGGCUCCUGUUCUACGGCAGAAUGAAUGCGGUGCAAGCAUCAAACAGAAACACGGCUCAGGCCUCGUGAAUACAAGACGGAGGCAUGCCUUUGCUUCUCUUCCCUCUCUUUGUGCCGCAUGCCAAGUAGAAACACAACGGGCAGAGUGCCUCAGUUUUGGAUCGGGGCGUAGAGUCUCUCUCUGUCUUUGCUGUAUGCCAUACACGAAAAGAAGACACCAACAUCGGGGGGCGGGGGGAAGGGGAGAAAUAACGCCGACUUGUGUGCGCACGCCGCCCGCUGUUCUCUGGGCUCAACAUGCGCCGGCCACGCACAUUUGUGAAGUUUAUGUGCGGCCCACGUCCCCCUUGUUCCGAUACCCUUCCAGGCACUUUCAGUGCUGCCCAUCCUCGAGCUUCUUCGCUCCUUCUCCUCGCUGAGCCUCUGUUCUGCCUGCUGGCUUGCUGCCCUACUCGAUAGCAUCUCUUUUCGUUCACCGGCGCGCGUUCCCCCAGUCGCAUCUGAGAACAGACGAAAUAUACGUAAGAAAAGGGAGCGCGCAAGCGCACGGAAACACCCAAAGCGCAUCGGUGCGGGGAUGGGCUCUUCGUGGAUCUCCUUCGUCCCCACCCCCGCUUCUUCUUUCCUCAACUCUCUCUCUCUUUGAGGAGGUUUGAUUGUUGCUGUCGGGAUCCGUUGGCUCGCAUUCCCCGCUGCUGCUGCUGCUGCUUCUCUUUUAUCGCCUCUCCUUGCGUGCACGAUUUCGUGCGUCUGUGUGAGAG
rnacentral:misc_RNA from 1 species